rnacentral:rRNA from 1 species
CAGUAGCCGCGGUAAAACGAAGGUGGCAAGCGUUGUCCGGAAUUAUUGGGCGUAAAGCGCGCGCAGGCGGAUCGGUCAGUCUGUCUUAAAAGUUCGGGGCUUAACCCCGUGAUGGGAUGGAAACUGCCAAUCUAGAGUAUCGGAGAGGAAAGUGGAAUUCCUAGUGUAGCGGUGAAAUGCGUAGAUAUUAGGAAGAACACCAGUGGCGAAGGCGACUUUCUGGACGAAAACUGACGCUGAGGCGCGAAAGCCAGGGGAGCGAACGGGAUUAGAUACCCCAGUAGUCCCUGUCUCUUAUACA